AGGCUAUCCUGCCUCACCGAAAUUAAAUAAGAUUUAUUCCAAAGCAAUGCUACGUGGUCGGAGCCGCAAUGUCAGGCCAAGAGGCGCCACCUCCCACCCCAGUGACCACAGACUGUAGCCCCUACUGUAGCUUAGUCCUCCGCAGUAAUCAGGAAGUGACGCAAACUGUACCUCAUUGGUCCACAACAAAUAUUAUAACAGUGCCCAAAUGACACAAUAAAUCAUGAAAUCGACCCAUGGACAGUCAUAAGACGAAUAAAAUACACAUAUUGUGACUAUUUGUUCUCAUGAGAAAAAAUUAUUGACUUUGUAUUUUGACCGCAUUUGUACCGUAGACUUACAUGGAAACCGGAUAUGAAAACACCUAUACUGGAGCCAACCGUAGUGGCGCUAGUGAGCAACCAGGAACAACAAGACCAGGAAAUGAGCUUCAAAAACGUCUGGUUUUGGCCGAUUGAUUCGGACGCAGCUUUUUCGUCCGCUUACCUGUAGAUGGACGCUUUUUCGCGUAAUAGGUGCCUGCGUUCUUCCUUGUCCGUUCACCCGAUAUAUAAGCAGCUUGAAACACAGCAACUGACAACAGACAACAACAGACAACUUGUCACAAACACAUACGUAUAGGAAUUGUAAGGUCAGCUAACCUUAUUUUUUUCCUAGUGGGAAAACUAGAAGACCUUCGUCGGUUAGCCUAGUCAAAGAUAGACGGACACCCCCAGUCAAAGCCUGCGAGAGUAGACAGUAAACUGUAGCGAGAUCGUCAUCCAAUGCCGAAUUGCCCCAUUUUAUUCACUCGAACAGGGUAAUGUUUAUUAAAGUCGUCGUAAUAUGUUCAUAUAUGUUUGGAUGGACAUGGAAUUUCACACAAAGGUAGUUUAAUUACCCUAAAUACCGGACACCUAGGCUACUUCCAACCCCCACGUCUUUUCGAAAUUUUCAAUAAAAAGGACGGGACCAACGCCGCAAAGAAGCGUGUCCGGGUUCUGGAGGGUGUCCGACUAUGAGUAAAAUGAUAUCAUAUAGGCCUAGAGUAAUCUCUGCCUAACAUAAUCACUCCACUGUAUAUUUUUCCUCAAUAUUGCAAACCACUUAAUUUUAGUAGGCUAAUGGGAAUGAUUCCCUCUAAAACAUGAAAAAAAGUAACAACCCCUUAAUUGUUUAAAACAAAAUCAGGGUUUAUAGUGCAGUAAGUGUAAAAAUGUCAACAACAAGCGACAAGUCCUGUGACGUCCGUCUCACUAGGCUACCUCCUCACAUGGUAGAAGUGGUCAUGGAAUAUUAAAAAAAAACUGAAGUAAACUUUCUUUUAAAGGUUAUUUUUAAAUUACUUUCUGGUCUAAAAUGUAUGUUUAGAUUCCGUAUGAGCUCUUAGCUUGUUAGGCUACGCAUUAAACUCGCUAUUUUAUUGCCAGUUAUCCGUUUUUCUGAAUUACGCGGGUUAAUGCGAUUAUACCUGCAGAUUCCCAUUCCUCCCCGCAGCCCUUUACCUUCAGCUUCUCUGACCUCAGUUCCACUCCACAGCAGACUGUUUACUCAGUUUUUUACAUUUCAUUUUAUUCCUUCUUUCCUAGGAUUUCUUUCUCCUCCAUUUUUAAAAUGGCCGUUAAGCUUCCGUUUCUGUUUUGGACCUUUCCUUACUUACCUGUUUACCUGCUCAACUGAAUGUUCGAUGGGUGGAGUCAUCUGUUGUGGAGUGGAACUGAGUCUCCCUGCCAGUCACUGACCCAUUAACAUCCUGAAUGAUGGCCCUAUGUAACAUGCUAAAGUGUGAGGGCUGAAAUGUGAGAUCUGACCCACAGUCUCUUUCUCGAGUCGGGAGUAUCUGGAGACGGGACGUGUCAAAAGCAAAAUGGACGGAUCAAAAGCAUGUUUCUAUUGGUCAAUGAUUCGGUGAGUCACGUAUAUUAUCCAAUCAAAAGCAUGAUCCAAAGGCGUAGAUGUAUCAAGAUGGUUUUGACGUUUCUGAGACGGCAUAUCUGUUUUUGUUGUCGGUCCUGGAAGUGAAUAGUAGGCUAUGUCGGUGCAUAAAUUAUGCGCGAAAAAAAAGUUGUGGUAUUUGUGUAAUCUGUUAAUUUACACAAUUUAUUUGAAAAUGGCAUUUGAUCGUCAGUGAUUACGACGCUGAAGUUGGCUCUCGAUUCGCAGCUCCCGACUCGAAAAUUCCGCUCCACCUUAAAUUGGCGAGGUCUCUUUCCAGCAGGUUCUUGUUAUCUUAGUAGAUUCCUGGCACACUUGAGUGUUUUUGGGACCAGGACUUUGUUUCACGGUCUUUGUCUAAACUAUUUAGCCAAUCUAAUAUGCAGUAAAGUCAUGUUUGGUGUUGAUGGAGAGCUAAUAUCAUGAGCUGUUAGAUGGUCUCAUUCUAUGUUGAGAACGUUGUCAUUCAAAGUUUAUGUGUCACAUGAAAGUGAAACGCCAAUCACGGAAAUUGAGCUAUGCAGUUGUUACACUUGAAAUUGUGAAAAUGGCGACACUAUGUUUGAACAGU